rnacentral:rRNA from 1 species
GCGAAAACUUUACAAUGCUGGCAACAGCGAUAAGGGAACAUCGAGUGCCAGGUUACAAAUCUGGCUGUCGAGAUGCCUAAAAAGCAUUUCAUAGCAAGGGCCGGGCAAGACCGGUGCCAGCCGCCGCGGUAACACCGGCGGCUCGAGUGGUAACCGUUAUUAUUGGGUCUAAAGGGUCUGUAGCCGGCCGGAUAAGUCUCUUGAGAAAUCUGGCAGCUUAACUGUCAGGCUUUCAGGAGAUACUGUCUGGCUCGAGGCCGGGAGAGGUGAGAGGUACUUCAGGGGUAGGGGUGAAAUCUUGUAAUCCUUGAAGGACCACCAGUGGCGAAGGCGUCUCACCAGAACGGACCUGACGGCAAGGGGCGAAAUCUAGGGGCACGAACC